UGGUAAUGCCGGAUGCUCCGACUCCUCGCAUGGGGUGUCGGGAAAGAUUUCAUCGGUAUGGGAUGGGGUCGCGUCCUAUCAGGUAGUCGGCGGGGUAACGGCCCACCGAGCCUACGACGGGUAGCCGGCCUGAGAGGGCGACCGGCCACAUUGGGACUGAGAUACGGCCCAGACUCCUACGGGAGGCAGCAGUGGGGAAUAUUGCACAAUGGGCGCAAGCCUGAUGCAGCGACGCCGCGUGCGGGAUGACGGCCUUCGGGUUGUAAACCGCUUUUGAUCGGGAGCAAGCCUUCGGGUGAGUGUACCUUUCGAAUAAGCACCGGCUAACUACGUGCCAGCAGCCGCGGUAAUACGUAGGGUGCAAGCGUUAUCCGGAAUUAUUGGGCGUAAAGGGCUCGUAGGCGGUUCGUCGCGUCCGGUGUGAAAGUCCAUCGCUUAACGGUGGAUCUGCGCCGGGUACGGGCGGGCUGGAGUGCGGUAGGGGAGACUGGAAUUCCCGGUGUAACGGUGGAAUGUGUAGAUAUCGGAAAAUAAC
rnacentral:rRNA from 1 species